UCCAACCUCCCACAUCUCCUGAGUCUCCCUCCUCACCUCUCCUGAGUCCUCUCUACUGACACCAUGGGCUGCUGUGGUUGUGGAAGUUGUGGUGGCUGUGGUGGUGGCUGCGGUGGUGGCUGCGGCAGUGGCUGUGGCGGUGGCUGCGGCGGUGGCUGUGGUGGUGGCUGCAGCAGCUGCAACAGCUGCAGGUGCUACCGGGUGGGCUGCUGCAGCAGCUGCUGCCCCUGCUGCUGCGGCUGCUGUGGGGGCUGCUGCAGCGUCCCCGUGGUCUGCUGCCACCGCCGCACCUGCAGCUGCCACUCGUGUGGCUGCGGUGGUGGGAAGGGCUGUUGCCAGCAGAAGAGCUGCUGCUGCCAGCAGAAGUGCAGCUGCCAGAAGCAAUGCUGCCACUAGGUGAGCUGGUCUGCAGGUGCUGCUGGGCGUCUGCUUGUUCCCACAGCGCAGGCAGUGGGAGCACUGCCUCCAUCCAUCUGUCUGCUAUGCACUGUCUCUCUGCCACUUGAGCUUCCUAGGAAUUUUCUCUUUGGUUGUGUAUAUCAUACUUUGAGGCUUCAGUGACUCUUCAUUUCUUGAGAGUGAUGGCAGGACCUCUUAUACAAUGACAUCCAGUGGGAAAAGAUGGAGCUGCUUGUUCAUCCUUAGCAUAGCGCUUGGCAGGUGCUGACGGUAUGGUAGUUGUAGAGACCAGCCUCUCUCAAUUCAAUCUUGUCUGCUUCUCCGAGAUCUGUUACCCUGCUGUGUAGGAUUUAGACUCUGUGUUGGGACUUUGUUUUAGUAUCUUCUUUUUCUGCUUUGAGCAGUUCAAGUCUUCAUACCUUUAAAGUGUUUAAAGCCAUGGGAAUAAUUAAAUUCAAAGCUGUGAGCACCUCUGAGCACCUGAUAGCAGCCCAUAGCCCUGAUCUCAGACUAGUAGCACUGAGAUCCUCAAUAUUUUGACCUGUAGCAGGUGUUCAUUGUUUCUGUCCACCAAGUUUUGCCUUUGCCAUCUCUAAGCACAACGGAUUCCUGAUUUUGCAACGCCUGCUUUAUACUUCUAAUUAUUACACUGCCAUCUUCUAAAUGUCAAAUAAAAUAAACUAAAUCAUCCUCAAAAUAUUGACUCAUAAGAUCUUCUUACUUGGUGGUAACCUCUGAGGGAAGAUGGAGGGGUUAGGUUGAAUAAUGAGGAAAGAGACCUCCCUUGCUUGCUUGAAUUGAUUGUGAGCACAAACUACUUUAAUGGAAGACCUACAUUAAUAAACAUUAAAAUUUUAAGUGUUUUGUCUGUUUCUCAUCUAUUUUGUGACCUGAUUCCUUUUUCAAGGAUAUCUUAAGUGAACUGACAGUAAUAGCCAAGAACAUGUAAAGCUGGACAAAGUUUACCUCGGCUAUCUGAAUUUCUGCCAUUGUGAUCCAUGCAUAUUUCCUUCUCAGGAAAAACAACUUCAAGAAGUAUGGAUUUCACAUGCAAUUUAAAUUUGAUUUGUUAAGAGUGUCUUUUUGACAAGUGGGUUUCCUCAAUUAAAUUUAAAAUCCUUGUUUAGUCACAAAAGAUUAAUUUCCACAGAUUUUUAGCCAACUGUCUGUCUAAUUACAAUCUAAAUAUCCUCUAUAACAGAACACAGUACUGCUUCUCAGUUUAGAACUAUAUUUUCACAUUUACUGUGAGCAAAUCAGGUUUUGGAAUUAUGAAGCUUUUAGGUGAACUCUGCCAUCUCUUUUGAAACAAUGAAUUUUCCAAAGAAGCUCACACUCAUCCAGCCACCAUCAGGGCCAUCAUCACCAUCCCAACCACAAUUGCCAGCUUCACCACAUCAAUUUGCUUUAAAAAAGAAUGAAUUGGAAGAGUAGCAUUGAAACACACACAUUAUCAUAUGCAAAACAGACAACCAGCGGGGAUUUACUACCUAUCUCAGGAAGAUCAAACACAGGGCUCUGUGACAGCCUAGAGGGAUGGGAUGGGGUAGGAGGUGGGAGGGAGGUUCCAAAGGGAAGAGACAUAUGUAUUCCUAUGGCUGAUUCAUGUUGAUGUGGGGUAGAAACUAGCACAAUAUUGCAAACCAAGUAUCCUCUAAAUAAAAAUUUAAAAAAAUAAAAAUUGAAAGGAAGACUGAAUACAGAAACUUAAGAAACUCACCUUUCAAUGGUCUUUUAAACAGUGUUUUCAAGGUCCCCAUAAGCUACUUCUGAAAAUGAGUAACAGAUUGGAAUGCACACAGAAAAACAGUCACUCCUCUACAAAAUCUGUAAGAAUGCUGAAUAAUACUGUUUCUCGCGACAGUACUUAAGCAGUCUGAACCUUCAUUUUUUUAAGUACAUGUCUUUUAAUUCAGAAAUUUCAUAGCUUGGACAAAGGCAUACUCUUUACAAGGAUCUUCAUGUUACCAAAUCAAACUUGAGUCUGCUACCCACACAGAAAGCCAAUCUAUUGACCCCAGGUGGUGGGGAGGGAAAGCGCAGCAUUUACUAUAAGGCACCUCACAAGGAGAAUGGGUGGCUCAUGCUCAGAAACCCCAAACUCACCAAAGGAUUUCAGCAAAGGCUUUUAAAAAGCCAAGUAAGGGAGAAGGUCCCAGGGUCUGUGAUCAGCUCAUGCACACUGCUCUGAUUCGUUGAUGGUGAGGGAACAGGGUGGUGUCACAGGGGUUAAUAUAUCAACCCUGAGGCACCAGGAGGUCUGCAGGACAUAUGCUCAUGAUCAAGUAGUUAAUUUCUUCCAUUUGGUGGGAGUUUCUAAGAAAAACUUAGAAAAUAUGCAUCAGAUAUUAUUAUCUAAGUAUUCAGAGAAGAGUGAUAGCAGAGGAUAUAGGGGAGGUGUCUGCCCUAGGGGGGUUCCACUUGGUUGAACUCAUGGCAUUGAACUUAAAGACUUUGUUGGUCAGUCACUCAGUUGUGUGUGACUCUUUGGGACCCCGUGGACGGCAGCACAGCAGGAUUCUCUUUUCUUUAUCAUCUGCCAGAGUUUAUUAAAACUCAUGUCCAUUGAGUGGGUGAUGCUAUCCAGCCAUCUCAUCCUCUAUCACCCCCAUCUCCUCCUGCCCUCAUACUUUCC
ensembl:lncRNA